CCUACGGGUGGCAGCAGUGGGGAAUAUUGCACAAUGGGGGAAACCCUGAUGCAGCAACGCCGCGUGAGUGAGGAAGUAUUUCGGUAUGUAAAGCUCUAUCAGCAGGGAAUAGAAAAGAAGGUACCUGAAAAAGAAGCCCCGGCUAACUACGUACCAGCAGCCGCGGUAAUACGCAGGGGGGAAGCGGUAUCCGGAUUUACUGGGGUUAAAGGGAGCGUAGGUGGGAAGGCAAGUCAGAAGUGAAGGCCCCAGGCUCAACCGUGGGACUGCUGUUGAAACUGUCAAACUAGAGUACGGGAGAGGUAAGAGGAAUUCCUAGUGUAGCGGUGAAAUGCGUAGAUAUUAGGAGGAACACCGGUCGCGAAGGCGGCUUACUGGACCGAAACUGACGUUGAGGCUCGAAAGCGUGGGGAGCAAACAGGAUUAGAUACCCGUGUAGUC
rnacentral:rRNA from 1 species